UACGGAGGAUGCAAGCGUUAUCCGGAAUGAUUGGGCGUAAAGCGUCCGCAGGUGGCAAUGUAAGUCUGCUGUCAAAGCGUCUGGCUCAACCAGAUAAAGGCAGUGGAAACUACAUAGCUAGAGUAAGGUAGGGGUAGAGGGAAUUCCUGGUGUAGCGGUGAAAUGCGUAGAGAUCAGGAAGAACACCGGUGGCGAAAGCGCUCUGCUGGACCAUAACUGACACUCAGGGACGAAAGCUAGGGGAGCGAAUGGG
rnacentral:rRNA from 1 species